GUUGUUUAUAUAACACAUGGGUCAUCUUUACAUCCCACCUUGAAUUCUUAACUGCUUAAAUGUGUCUUUUCAACUAAACCCUAUGUUUCUUGGGGAAGAAGGUGAGACAUUGGAUGUUACUGCAGUUAUUAAUGCCUGCACCCUUACAGAAGCCCGAUACUUGCUAGAUCACUUCCUGUCAAUGGGCAUCAAUAAGGGUCUUCAGGCUGCCCAGAAAGAGGCUCAAAUUAAAGUACUGGAAGGUCGACUCAAACAAACAGAAAUAACCAGUGCUACCCAAAACCAGCUCUUAUUCCAUAUGUUGAAAGAGAAGGCAGAAUUAAAUCCUGAGCUAGAUGCUUUACUAGGCCAUGCUUUACAAGAAAAUGUAGAGGAUAGUACUGAUGAGGAUGCUCCUUUAAACAGCCCAGGAUCAGAAGGAAGCACGCUGUCUUCAGAUCUCAUGAAGCUUUGUGGUGAAGUGAAACCUAAGAACAAGUUCCAGGCAGUCAUCUCUAUCAGA
rnacentral:sRNA from 1 species